CCUACGGGGGGCUGCAGUGGGGAAUAUUGGACAAUGGGGGCAACCCUGAUCCAGCCAUGCCGCGUGUGUGAAGAAGGCCCUCGGGUUGUAAAGCACUUUCAGUGAGGAAGAACGCCUGGUGGUUAAUACCCAUCAGGAAAGACAUCACUCACAGAAGAAGCACCGGCUAACUCCGUGCCAGCAGCCGCGGUAAUACGGAGGGUGCGAGCGUUAAUCGGAAUUACUGGGCGUAAAGCGCGCGUAGGUGGCUUGAUAAGCCGGUUGUGAAAGCCCCGGGCUCAACCUGGGAACGGCAUCCGGAACUGUCAAGCUAGAGUGCAGGAGAGGAAGGUAGAAUUCCCGGUGUAGCGGUGAAAUGCGUAGAGAUCGGGAGGAAUACCAGUGGCGAAGGCGGCCUUCAGGACUGACACUGACACUGAGGUGCGAAAGCGUGGGUAGCAAACAGGAUUAGAUACCCCAGUAGUC
rnacentral:rRNA from 1 species